UUCCGGUCGAUCCUGCCGGAAUCCGACGCUCUCCCCAAGGACACAAGCCAUGCAUGCCCGCACACCCGGGAAGCGGCGGACGGCUCAGGACAACGGUUGCACCCCCCGCGGCGGUCCCUGCUAGCCGGACACCGCUGGCAACCCGGCGCCAAGACGUGCGCGCAAGUGCGGACGCCCGCGGGCGAGCAGCGUGACGCAGCGACGGCCCGCCCGGGCUUCCGGGGCAUCACCCGGUCGGCGCGGUCGCGGCGCGCCGAGGGCCCGACGCCUGGCGGAGAAUCAGGGUUCGACUCCGGAGAGCAG
rnacentral:rRNA from 1 species